rnacentral:tRNA from 4 species
UGGGGGAUAGUUUAGCGGUAGAAUUCUCGGCUCUGGACCGAGCGGCCCUGGUUCGAAUCCAGGUCCCCCAGCCA